UACGUAGGGGGCAAGCGUUGUCCGGAAUUACUGGGCGUAAAGAGCUCGUAGGCGGUUUGUCGCGUCGAAUGUGAAAACCCGGGGCUCAACCCCGGGCCUGCAUUCGAUACGGGCAGACUAGAGUUCGGUAGGGGAGUCUGGAAUUCCUGGUGUAGCGGUGAAAUGCGCAGAUAUCAGGAGGAACACCGGUGGCGAAGGCGGGACUCUGGGCCGAUAUUGACGCUGAGGAGCGAAAGCGUGGGGAGCAAACGGG
rnacentral:rRNA from 1 species